ACAUGCAAGUCAAGGGGCCAGCAAUGGCACCGGCGGACGGGUGCGUAACGCGUACACAACGUACCUUUGAGCGGGGGAUAGCAUUGGGAAACUGGUGGUAAACCCCCAUGGUGUUGGUGGAUGGCAUCAUUUACCAACUAAAGGUUACACUCAAAGAUCGGUGUGCGUCCGAUUAGCUAGUUGGCGGGGUAACGGCCCACCAAGGCGACGAUCGGUAGGGGGUGUGAGAGCAUGACCCCCCACAUGGGUACUGAGACACGGACCCAACUCCUACGGGAGGCAGCAGUAAGGAAUAUUGGACAAUGGUCGGAAGACUGAUCCAGCCAUGCCGCGUGAAGGACGAAGGCGCUCAGCGUUGUAAACUUCUUUUGGAUGGGGAUAAUAACCUCGAUUAAUCGGGGCUUGAAGGUACCAUCAGAAUAAGCACCGGCUAACUCCGUGCCAGCAGCCGCGGUAAUACGGAGGGUGCGAGCGUUAUCCGGAAUCACUGGGUUUAAAGGGUGCGUAGGCGGCGAGGUAAGUCAGUUGUGAAAUU
rnacentral:rRNA from 1 species